rnacentral:rRNA from 1 species
AACGCGAAAAACCUUACCUACCCUUGACAUGCCACUAACGAAGCAGAGAUGCAUUAGGUGCUCGAAAGAGAAAGUGGACACAGGUGCUGCAUGGCUGUCGUCAGCUCGUGUCGUGAGAUGUUGGGUUAAGUCCCGCAACGAGCGCAACCCUUGUCUCUAGUUGCUACGAAAGGGCACUCUAGAGAGACUGCCGGUGACAAACCGGAGGAAGGUGGGGAUGACGUCAAGUCCUCAUGGCCCUUAUGGGUAGGGCUUCACACGUCAUACAAUGGUGCAUACAGAGGGUUGCCAAGCCGCGAGGUGGAGCUAAUCCCAGAAAAUGCAUCGUAGUCCGGAUCGUAGUCUGCAACUCGACUACGUGAAGCUGGAAUCGCUAGUAAUCGCGGAUCAGCAUGCCGACAGU